rnacentral:rRNA from 1 species
CAGCAGCCGCGGUAAUACGUAGGGUGCAAGCGUUGUCCGGAAUCAUUGGGCGUAAAGAGCUCGUAGGCGGUCUGUCGCGUCUGCUGUGAAAACCUGGGGCUUAACCCCGGGCCUGCAGUGGGUACGGGCAGACUAGAGUGCGGUAGGGGAGACUGGAAUUCCUGGUGUAGCGGUGAAAUGCGCAGAUAUCAGGAGGAACACCGGUGGCGAAGGCGGGUCUCUGGGCCGUAACUGACGCUGAGGAGCGAAAGCAUGGGUAGCGAACAGGAUUAGAUACCCUGGUAGUCCAUGCCGUAAACGUUGAGCGCUAGGUGUGGGGCUCAUUCCACGAGUUCCGUGCCGCAGCAAACGCAUUAAGCGCCCCGCCUGGGGAGUACGGCCGCAAGGCUAAAACUCAAAGGAAUUGACGGGGCCCCGCACAAGCGGCGGAGCAUGCGGAUUAAUUCGAUGCAACGCGAAGAACCUUACCAAGGCUUGACAUGCAGGGAAAUCUCCCAGAGAUGGGAGGUCCGCAAGGGUCCUGCACAGGUGGUGCAUGGUUGUCGUCAGCUCGUGUCGUGAGAUGUUGGGUUAAGUCCCGCAACGAGCACAACCCUCGUUCUAUGUUGCCAGCGGGUAAUGCCGGGGACUCAUAGGAGACUGCCGGGGUCAACUCGGAGGAAGGUGGGGAUGACGUCAAAUCAUCAUGCCCCUUAUGUCUUGGGCUUCACGCAUGCUACAAUGGCCAGUACAAAGGGCUGCGAGACCGUAAGGUGGAGCGAAUCCCAAAAAGCUGGUCU